CCUACGGGGGGCAGCAGUGGGGAAUAUUGGACAAUGGGGGGAACCCUGAUCCAGCCAUGCCGCGUGUGUGAAGAAGGCCCUCGGGUUGUAAAGCACUUUCAGUGAGGAAGAACGCCUGGUGGUUAAUACCCAUCAGGAAAGACAUCACUCACAGAAGAAGCACCGGCUAACUCCGUGCCAGCAGCCGCGGUAAUACGGAGGGUGCGAGCGUUAAUCGGAAUUACUGGGCGUAAAGCGCGCGUAGGUGGCUUGAUAAGCCGGUUGUGAAAGCCCCGGGCUCAACCUGGGAACGGCAUCCGGAACUGUCACGCUAGAGUGCAGGAGAGGAAGGUAGAAUUCCCGGUGUAGCGGUGAAAUGCGUAGAGAUCGGGAGGAAUACCAGUGGCGAAGGCGGCCUUCUGGACUGACACUGACACUGAGGUGCGAAAGCGUGGGUAGCAAACAGGAUUAGAUACCCGGGUAGUC
rnacentral:rRNA from 1 species